GGCUGGUUAGCACAGUGGUUUGAGCGCGGUGCUGACAGUGAUCAACACCGAGGUCGCGGGUUCGAUUCCCGCUCGGUCC
rfam:Apaloderma vittatum contig77389, whole genome shotgun sequence.